rnacentral:ribozyme from 1 species
GGGGGAGUGAUCCCCCUACCUAAUGUAGCCGUGGACGGUCACAAGCCCGUGUAAAUACAGAGUGGGUA